rnacentral:snoRNA from 1 species
GGCCAAUGAUGUAUCAUUUUGCACGUAUUAUCAGAUGUGUUUAUGAUGAUACCUUAAUUGUCACUACCUCUGAGGCC